rnacentral:rRNA from 1 species
UACGUAGGGUGCGAGCGUUAAUCGGAAUUACUGGGCGUAAAGCGUGCGCAGGCGGCUUUGCAAGACAGCUGUGAAAUCCCCGGGCUCAACCUGGGAACUGCAUUUGAGACUGCAAGGCUAGAGUACGGCAGAGGGGGAUGGAAUUCCGCGUGUAGCAGUGAAAUGCGUAGAUAUCAGGAGGAACACCAAUAGCGAAGGCAGCUCGCUGGGACGGUACUGACGCUAAGGCGCGAAAGCGUGGGGAGCGAACAGG